GUCCAUCUACUGCCUUCAUUGAAAAUGCUCACAUUCAAAUUCAGUGGCUUUGGGAGAAAAGAUGACAAAGGACAGUGGCAGAGAAGCCCCUCUGGGAAGCUAUAGCAGAGGCUUUGGGCUGACCAUGACUUCAAGCCCCAGGGUUUGUAAACAAGCAACCACAACCACAAACCACAGGGCAUUAAGAGUCAAUGUGCAGCAAACAGAGGGAGACAUGUGUCACACAUUUCCCUAUCUUGUCUACUACAGUGGAAUACAAAGGGCAAGUGGCCUUGUUUUUGAAAAUGAAGGACAGAUAUGUCUGGCAGCUGUUACCCAAAUGGCAGGUUUGUCUGUUUGGCAGUGGAAUAAAUCACUGAGCAGUGUUCCCCAGCACAGACUGGAGCCACACUCCAUUCUUCAAGAGAAUGAAGUCGGAUCCCUUUGGCUGGCUGCUCAAGACUGUCCCCAGCUGUAAGCAGUGUUGCUUAUUGCCUUCUCAACACCUGUGACCUCCAAGGUCUUUCCAUCAAAUGAGGAAGUCGAGGCCACGUCACACCUGCAGUCAGAGGAUCCUCAUUGGAACCAGCCAGUCUGAUUCCAGAAUCUGUCCUCCUAGCACAUGGCUCCCCUCCAGCUGGUGCUCGCUACAUGUUUAUUGUAAUUGUGGAUACCCUGCCGAAAAGGAAAAAUACU